CUCCGGCAUUCCGAUUGGCCCUCUCCGAGAAAAGGGGCGGGGCCCCUCCUUACUAUGCGGUGCGGGGACCCAACAACAUUCCAGUCGUUAAGGCCACGCCCCGGGCCACUCCCCCCUCGUCGGGCUGCGGCCUCCCAGUCUCCUCGGCCACACCCCCUUCCCAACUACUUAAAAGGACACUCCAAAGCUCACGUUUCCCUCCUCUGUACCGGGGUGUUCUUGUCUGGGUAUCUCUACCCGCUUACGGUGGAAUGGUUGCGCCCUUCGGGUAGCCAAGCAAGCCUCCAGGCAUAAGUCAGGUCGGACCAGGAUGAGAGAGAGGCUUCGGGCAGUUGUUUUACUUCCUGCUUGGCGCUCGAAUUGUGGCCCCUUCGUUUCACGCUGCUUGCAGGAUCCUAGUUUCCCGAUCAGGGAUCGAACCUGUGUCCAGAGCAGUGAAAGUGUCAAGUCCUAACCACUGGACUGCCAGGUGAGAAGUUUUAGAUCCAGCCACCAGUUCACAGGCAGUGCAGCAGGAAAACAAGGAUGUUGAAUGACAACAGGGCAAAAUCCAGAGCUUCACAAACUCUGUAGGACGCAAAUGACCCAGAAUCCUUGACUGGUAAAUGACAAGAGAGAGAAAUAGAGAAAACAAAAUGGAG
ensembl:lncRNA